GAUCAAGAACAGAGCAAAACAAGCUCAAACUUAAUAACAAAGGAAAAGAAUUUUAUUAAGCUACUACUACUAUCACUACUAUAUAAGAAAAAAGAAAGAAAAACACACACAAGAUCAAAAAUGAAAACCUUCCAAAACAUUCCUCCUCCCACCACCCAACUCCAACAAACCACAGUGAGACACAUUUGGGCCCUUCAUCACUAUUCAAUAUAAUCAAUACUGAGUCCAUCAGGGGAGAGAGGAGUCUCCCUUGCACCAUAGACCCCCCGGAAACACAGCUGCCACUCCUUGUGUUUCCAUGUCACACAUGGCACCGCCCGGAGAAAAAGGUUUGCCAGUGUGACCCUCUCCUUUCCAUGCACAGUGCUCUCACCACCGAUGCAUGGAUGGACAGACUGCUUUUAGGAUUUUUCUUUUCAAGGAUACUCUGCCAAGAGGGAAAAAAACAACAGUUCAGUUUUUCAUUUUUUGGGACCACAGUCCCCCCCAUUUUCUUCCUCCCCUGGGGCCGAGGGUCUCAGGAACAGAGAUCUUCUCUUCUUCUCUGAAGACGGGGGGCAUCACCACAAACCUCCCCAACUUUUCUCUGUUCGCUCCACUCCUGUGUUUUCCUCAGCUGCUGAAGCAGGUCUCUUGGCUCACCAGCAUCCUCCUAAAAUACAGUCUCUCUCUUGGAGGAGAAAAUCAGUUCAGUCUAUGGCUAACAAGAAAAAGUCCAGCCAGAAGCCACUCCAUCAUCUCCUUCCACCCAGAAUUUCUCCUUCUAACAUCUCGGGUCCCAGGCUGUCUCUCUUCCUCUCUUUCUAGCCGAGGAGGAGUAAAAUUUCACAAAGCUUUCAUUUCUCAAGGGAGGGUUAAAAGUCCCGACUCCCUGGCUGGCUCUCUGCCCGGAUCUCCGGCUCCCACCUGGGAGCUGGGCACCUUGCGGCCUUGGGGCCCCCCCGCUCUCCUCCUUCCCCACGGUACUGCUGGCAAACGUCGCUGUCCCUUUCGAGAGAGAGACUCUGGGGGGGGGGGGACGGAGACAUCCCAGAUGUUUUCCACCCUUCCAUCUGCAGGGGCCAGCCCGGUUCCAGUCCCUCCACCCUUCGGCCUUACCUCAGCCAGGCCUCGGGCCUUCCCCUCCCCCGCCCAGCGAAGAGCCCGGCAGAGGAGAGUCCCGCACUGCACCCUGACCGGAACCAAAGAGCGAGUUCCCCUGGGAAUGCUGCUUUUAACCCCUCUGUGUUCUCAGAGGCGUGUCCACCCUCCAUUGGUCACCCUAAGUGUCAAUAUCCAAAUUGACCUCUUCUUUCCAAGAAGAUUCUUU
rnacentral:lncRNA from 1 species